rnacentral:lncRNA from 1 species
AAUGAGUGCAGACUAGUAUUCUUUAUUGUAAUAUGUUCCAAAGUAAGAAGUCUAUGCAUCAUAGGUGUCAUGACUGGUUUCAAGUUUGUUAUGUCUUGGUUAAGGUGGCACGGUAGUAUUUGCUUUCCAGAAUUUAGGUUGCUCUUUUGUGUACCCUACUUAGGUAAAUGUAUCUAAACAGUGUGAUUGGACAAAAAUACAGUAUCAACUGAACAUACUUUCCCAAACCGAGUGAUGAAUCAGGUGUAGAAAAAUAUGAAAUAAUUUUACAUACAGAUGAAAAUGAAUUUUUGAGAAUUUUUUUAAAUUUUGUAUUCACU